rnacentral:rRNA from 1 species
UACGAAGGGGGCUAGCGUUGCUCGGAAUUACUGGGCGUAAAGCGCACGUAGGCGGCUUUCUAAGUCGGAUGUGAAAUCCCUCGGCUCAACCGAGGAACUGCAUCCGAUACUGGCGGGCUUGAAUCCGGGAGAGGGAUGCGGAAUUCCAGGUGUAGCGGUGAAAUGCGUAGAUAUCUGGAGGAACACCGGUGGCGAAGGCGGCAUCCUGGACCGGUAUUGACGCUGAGGCGGCGAAAGCUAGGGGAGCAAACGGG